GCUAAAAACCUAGCCCAUUCCUCCAUCUAAUGAAUUUUAAAAACUACUUUCUCUAAUCAAAACAUUUUAUCAUCUUAGUAAGGGCGAUUAAAAAAUUAUUAGGAGCUAUACAAAAAGUACCGCAAGGGAAAGAUGAAAUAGAAAUGAAAUAAUCUUCAAGCACAAUAAAGUAAAGAUUAACCCUUGUACCUUUUGCAUCAUGGUUUAACUAGUCAAAUCAAGCAAGACGACUUAUAGUUUGACCCCCCGAAACUAGGCGAGCUACUUCAGGGCAGCUUAAUGAGCUAACCCAUCCCUGUUGCAAAAGAGUGGGAAGACCUUAAAGUAGCGGUGAUAGACCUAACGAGCCUGGUGAUAGCUGGUUACUCAAGAAAAGAAUUUUAGUCCAACCUAAAGAAUAGCAAGUAAUUUUAAAUAGUGCAACUUCUUUAGAGCAAUUCAAAUAAGGUACAGCCUAUUUGAUACAGGAUACAACCUCAGCCGAAGGGUAAUUAUUUUUGUAACAACUAAGUUGGCCUAAGAGCAGCCAUCUUUAAAAUAGCGUCAGAGCUUUAUUGUUUAUAUACUAAAUACCACAAAUAAUCUAGAGCCCUCCCCCACUACUGAGUAAUUCUAUAUUUUUAUAGAAAUUUUUAUGUUAGAACUAGUAACAAGAAGAAGCCCUUCUCUUAAAUGCGAGUGUAAGUCAUAAAGGACAUACCAAUGAUAAUUAACACCUAUACAUAUAAACUAGCAACCUUACAAGAAAAACCUACUUUAUACUAUGUUAAUCUAACACAAGAGCAUUACAAGAAAGAUUAAAAGAAAAAGAAGGAACUCGGCAAACAUUUACCCCGCCUGUUUACCAAAAACAUCGCCUCUUGAUUAAAUAUAAGAGGUCCAGCCUGCCCAGUGACUUUGUUUAACGGCCGCGGUAUCCUAACCGUGCGAAGGUAGCGUAAUCACUUGUUCUUUAAAUAAGGACUAGUAUGAAUGGCAUCACGAGGGUUAUACUGUCUCCUUUUUCUGAUCAGUAAAACUAAUCUCCCCGUGAAGAAGCGGGGAUUAAGAUAUAAGACGAGAAGACCCUAUGGAGCUUUAAACUAAGUAACAAUUGCUUCAACUCCUCUAUUCAUUUCAGAAUAACUUAUACCCAUGAUAGCUCAAUGAUUACUAAUUUUAGGUUGGGGUGACCGCGGAGCAUAAGAUAACCUCCACUUUGUACGGGAUUAAAUCCCUGAGCCAUGAAAUACGCCUCUAAGCACUAACUAAUUAACAUCAAUUGACCCAAUAUUUUGAUCAACGAACCAAGUUACCCUAGGGAUAACAGCGCAAUUCGCCUCAAAAGCUCCUAUCGACAGGCGAGUUUACGACCUCGAUGUUGGAUCAGGGUAUCCAAGUGGUGUAGCCGCUACUAAAGGUUCGUUUGUUCAACGAUUAAUACCCU
rnacentral:rRNA from 1 species